rnacentral:rRNA from 1 species
CGGGUCGUAAAGCUCUGUGGGGAGGGAAGAAAAAGCAUGUGGCUAAUAUCCACGUGCCCCGACGGUACCUCCUUAGCAAGCACCGGCUAACUCCGUGC